AUCUCUAUGGUCAUCUCUAUGGUUGCUUCCAAGUCUCUAUGGUCAUCUCUAUGGUUUUCUCCCCAUCUCUAUGGUUCUCUGCAAAUCUCUAUGAUCAUCUCUAUGGUUUUCUCCCCAUCUCUAUGGUCAUUUCUAUGUUUGCCUCCAAGUCUCUAUGGUCAUCUCUAUGGUUUUUCUCCCCAUCUCUAUGGUUCUCUGCAAAUCUCUAUGGUCAUCUCUAUGGUUUUCUCCCCAUCUCUAUGGUCAUCUCUAUGGUUGCCUCCAAAUUUCUAUGGUCAUCUCUAUGGUUCUCCCCCACGGUCCUCCCACCAUCUCUAUGGUCAUCUCUAUGAUCAUCUCUAUGCUCCUUCUGCAUCUCUAUGGUCAUCUCACAAACAUUUCUGCAAUCAUCUCUAUGGUUAUCUCUCUGGUCCCUACAGUCCUCCCACUUGCUCUAGAGUCCUCCAAUGUCCCUAUAGUCCUCCCACCCCCUCUCUAUGGUCCUCCAACUCUCUCGACGGUCCUCCAAUGCCCCUACAGUCCUCCUACCCCCUCUCUAUGGUCCUCCCACUUGCUCUACAGUCCUCCAACGUCCCUACAGUCCUCCCGCCCCCUCUCUAUGGUCCUCCCACUCGCUCUACGGUCCUCCAACGUCCCUACAGUCCUCCCACCUCCUAUGGUCCUCCCACUCGCUCUACGGUCCUCCCACCCCCUCUCUAUGGUCCUCCCACGUCACUACAGUCCUCCCACCUCCUCUCUAUGGUCCUCCCACUCUCUCUACGGUCCUCCAAUGCCCCUACAGUCCUCCCACCCCCUCUCUAUGGUCCUCCCACUUGCUCUACAGUCCUCCAACGUCCCUACAGUCCUCCCAUCCCCUCUCUAUGGUCCUCUCACUCUCUCUACGGUCCUCCCACCCCCUCUCUAUGGUCCUCCCACUCUCUCUCCAGUCCUCCAACAUCCCUACCGUCCUCCCAUCCUCUCUCUAUAGUCCUCCCACUCUCUCUACGGUCCUCCCACUCUCUCUCCAGUCCCCCAACAUCCCUACAGUCCUCCCACCCCCUCUCUAUGGUCCUCCCACUCGCUCUACAGUCCUCCAACGUCCCUACAGUCCUCCCACCCCCUAUGGUCGUCCCACUCUCUCUAGGGUCCUCCCACCCCUUCUCUAUGGUCCUCCCACGUCACUACAGUCCUCCCACCUCCUCUCUAUGGUCCUCCCACUCUCUCUACGGUCCUCCAGUGCCACUAUGGUCCUCCCACCCGCUCUCUAUGGUCCUCCCACGUCCUCUCUAUGGUCCUCCCACUCGCUCUACAGUCCUCCAACGUCCCUACAGUCCUCCCACCCGCUCUCUAUGGUUCCCCCUACGUCUCUCACUCACCUCUCUCCGAUCAGCGCCCGUUCGCCCCCCGAGAAGCUGCCGCCGCGGCACCGCCCCCACUCCCGCUGCCAAAAAAACCACCACGUUUCACCCCAAAAUUCCCUCCCUCCCCCCAAAUUACUUUCCCUCGCCCCCCACACCACACACCUUCAUUAUCU
rnacentral:lncRNA from 1 species